CUGCUGCGGAAUGCUGAUCAAUGUUCAAGCUAGUAUGCGAGAUGGUCAGCUCAAACUGAUCAAUGAUAUAUACCUGUGCAGUUCGUUACUCUCGCUACCUUGCUCAAGGUCCUCACAGGCUCUCUUUCUCUUCUUGGAUAUUAUGCAUGAGAUAUGUGCAUGGCUGGGUGAUCGUGGGAGACGGCUAGUUCAUUUAUAUACAAGAAGGACGUCCUGCUCCCAGCAGCUUUCCAAAGCCGUCAGUUUCUCUUUUAGGUGAACUGUCUGCUUCAAUAUUAAAGGUAAAUCCUGUGCUUCGAAUUGAUCGUAAGCUGUUGGUUGCCGGAGGUGUUAAUUUUUUUUCUCAGAUCAAAAGGCUUUUCGCCCUGCUCCGUUUCCAUAAACAAAGAAAAAAGUGUACGCAUAGAAUGCCCCUAACAGGUUCAGAACUUAAUAUAGAACAUCUUCUCCAGCUUAAUUGGGGAUUCUCAUUCUCCCAAGCUUUCCUCUUACAUCUGCUCCAGCAGUGGUAUCUGUCCAGCCGGGUAGAAAGGUAGCUAACACGCCUUAACACAAGCAAAACAACUUCUCCCAAACAAUCUGCAAACCAGACCACAUACUUCUGCAGCAGAGCAGAUGUAAUCAUAUUCAACACACCACGUGCUGGUUUGUGUCCAUUUUUUCUUCUAGUGUUGUUGUCGUACGUUUGUGGUGUAGUCUCUGUUGUACUAGGUAGAUUUUAUGGUUUAUGAUGUGGGUCUUUUAAUCAGAAGAAACGAAUAAUAUAUUAGGUGUCUUUUUGCGGUACAUUUUACUACCUAGGAAGGAGAUCACUAGUAUAAGUCUAAUCCCACCGUUGAUUUUUCAGAUUGCAUGUAAGUUUCAUUAAGUUUGCUUCGUUACCAAAAUACUCUAUGACUGUAAUUAAUGUACUCCCUCCAUCCAUAUUAUUUGUCGCAGAUUUAAUACGAAAUUUACAGAUAACGGAUGACCAUUAUUCUUGCAAUUCUUAGAAACAAGGGUCGUGCAAUUAAUGAAUUACUGCCAUUUGCAAAGCAUUUUGUUUGCUACAAUGAUUCAAGGCAUGUUCUAUUUCUCUUCUUUGUGUUUAAAAUUUGUGCAUUUUUAAUUUUAGAUAAACUCAUAUCGAGUACUGUUGCUAGUCAAAGUGCUAUUGUCAGUGUAACUGUUCUAUCAAGUACAGCACGGCUUGUAGAUGUGGCUAUAUAUUGCACGUUUAUUGAAAAAAAUACCAAGGACUUUUUUUUGAGAUGAAAAGUACCAAGGAAUUGAAAGAACUGGAUAGUGCAAGAAGGCAACAACAAGAAAAUGUACAUGUAUUUGCUGCAUGGUGAAACGAGAGAAGAGCAAGAGGAACUGCACAGGGGAGAAUGGAAGCUAUUGAGCAUGCUUAGAGUUGUUUUUCUUUGUUGCCCAUGAAGAAGUCAAAGAUGGCAGCUCCUGCGCUUCAGUCCUUUGCGUCGCCCUGCGUGGCUCGCUGAGCUUUCGUGCCAGCUUUAGAACUGAACCCUGAUUUUGUUUUGCCUGUGAUGGCCGAUGUUAACCUGCACUCUGAUGGGUGAUUUUGUUUUGCACUGUGAUGGGUGACCUGUAUGGAGUACUACAAUGUACUACUGUACCGUGUUACCCGAGAUGAUGUAGGGGUUGGGCAAGACAGAGAGCGACCACGGAGGCGAACAAUUUCAGAUUGUUUACUGCAAAGGCAGUGAAAACAGAGUAGCUCACCCAUUAUCUAGCCGGCCUCAUCUCGAGCCCACUGUGCUCGCUCUUUCAUCGAGCCAACCAGUUUGGACUGAGGACAUUGCUGCUUCAUAUCAGCGGAAGAAUGGAAUGUUCCAUUUGCCAACAGUCCAAGCAAGAUAGGGCUCGUUACCCCGAGCUUGGCAGAUGGCCACAUUGGAUUUUAUCGAAGGCCUUCCUAGAUCAAAGCGUGUCAACUGUAUGUAUUCUCGUGGUAUACAAAUUCUCUCCCUAUGCUUUUUUGACUACUCAACUCCGGAUGA